rnacentral:tRNA from 2 species
GGACAGGUGGCUGAGAGGCCGAAAGCGCUCGGUUGCUAACUGAGUGAACCGCAAGGUUCCGUGGGUUCGAAUCCCACCCUGUCCGCCA